UUAUGCAUAUGUAUAAAUGUUUAUGUACAUAUGUACAUUCUUGCUAGAGGGCACUGCUAGAGCUGCCGUGUGCCGUAGAGAAAGAAAAAAGAUUUGGAGCACGGUUUCGAGCAGUUUACAGUUGACACGGUCUCUGCCAUCCCAUAUAAAUACGUACAACUAUUGGCCUUGCAUGAGUUAUUUAUCCAACAAGUGAGUUUAUGGCAGUAAAUGAAAAAAGGCAUGAAGGUACUUGCAAGUACAUACCAGUCCAAAAGUUAUCCACUGUUUCAUGCUGAGGAUUUCGGGGGCCUCUUCUUUUGCUUCGCACUCUUUCCUUAGCAGUGCGAAGCGCCGCUUUUAAGUGUUCCGCUACAUCCUUGCGGGACGGCCUUGGGAAGUGCUUAUUCUGGAGCACGGCAUCUAAAAAUCAAAUUGAUUCUUACCGUGUAUAGCAUGAACAAUUCUUGUCUCGCAAAGUGCGAGAUUGUUAUCUUCGCGGCCCAACCAGGAAUAAGAUGUUAGCAAGCAGUCACUCACUGUUUCUUUAAAAGAGAGAGUGACUGCUUCCUUCAGGUUGAAGCCGCCCACGUACUCCAAAUAGUUUACCUAAACAAAGUUCCGUACCUUGCUGCAUCCGUGGUUCAGGCCUGCUCUCCACUACAUCUGGAAUAUGAAAACUUUGCGUUGGUGGUGCAUAUGCUGUUGGAGGUGGCCUGUAUGUGUUUGGUGGUGUGUGUGGCGAGUAUAUGUUUAUGUUUGAUGGUGUGUGUUGUUCUCGGCGAGAAUUGGAAUUUUUGGGAUGGCGUGGAUUCCGUCUUUUCAAAGACGUGGGCGUCGAGGAGAAGAUAAACGACACAGCUUAGCGGUCACGAAUUAUGUAUUACUGAUAAUUUGUACACAAUGAGUCGUAAAUUAAACUCUACAAAAAUCA